AGUGGCGAACUGGUGAGUAACACGUGGGUAACCUGCCCAGAAGAAGGGGAUAACACCUGGAAACAGAUGCUAAUACCGUAUAACAACAAGAACCACAUGGUUCUUGUUUGAAAACUGGUCUUUGUGCUAGUGCUUCUAGAUGGACCCGCGGCGUAUUAGCUAGUUGGUGAGAUAAUAGCUCACCAAGGCAAUGAUACGUAGCAGACCUGAGAGGGUAAUCUGCCACAAUGGGACUGAGACACGGCCCAUACUCC
rnacentral:rRNA from 1 species